rnacentral:antisense_RNA from 1 species
CAGGAAAGAAAGAAAACACUUUAUUUGUAAAGAGAAAAUGGAACUUAGUACAUAUGCCAAAAUAAAUCUAUGAUGCAGGCCACUUCUCUGGGCCCCAUCUUGAGUAGGUUAAAGGGUUACCUUAGAGACUAGAAACACAAUUAAGAGGCACAAAUCCACACGGAGAAUAUGCAUAUUUUGUCUCCUUUCCCCCCAAAACAAGCUGCAUAUACUUGUGUAAACACUUGUUGAUUUGUAAAACAUGCCUAGUACUGCAGACAAAUGUGUGGGAUGAAAGGAAAUAAAAGCCAUGAAAACAGGGCCAGGUGGAAUAAGUUCUCCUAGCUCAGAAGGAUCUCAACCUCUUGCAAGUUACUUUUCACUUUUAAGGGCCCUUAAAGAAGCAUUUGCUUAGCUCUAUAUCCAGGCAAUCUCUCCCUCCCCGAAGAGCAACAGACCAGCAACUGACAUUAAGGUCACAUGGGUGGGUGGGGAGUAGAAUUGUGGGGGUGACGGUUCCAGCCAAUCCAGACAAUGAAUCAUUAAUUGUUUGGAGGAAACAGAGCCUCAAAGGGUGAGUGCACUGCCUAGGGCUGGUUCUCCAUCUGUUCACACAUUUGUUGAGUCCCUACUCUAUGCCAAAGCACUGUGUUUUGGUGCCCUGGGGAGCACAAAAUUGAGAUAGCUCCUGCCAUC